GAGUUUGAUCGUGGCUCAGGACGAACGCUGGCGGCGCGCCUAACACAUGCAAGUCGAACGGAGUUAUUUCAGCUGAAGCUUUCGGGUGGACGCAGGAAUAACUUAGUGGCGAACGGGUGAGUAACACGUGAGGAACCUGCCCUGGAGUGGGGGACAGCAGUUGGAAACGACUGCUAAUACCGCAUAAGCCCACAGCACCGCAUGGUGCAGAGGGAAAAGGAGCAAUUCGCUUCAGGAUGGCCUCGCGUCCAAUUAGGUAGAUGGUGAGGUAACGGCCCACCAUGCCGACGAUUGGCAGCCGGACUGAGAGGUUGAACGGCCACAUUGGAACUGAGACACGGUCCAAACUCCUACGGGAGGCAGCAGUGGGGAAUAUUGCACAAGUGGGACGAAAGCCUGAUGCAGCAACGCCGCGUGAGUGA
rnacentral:rRNA from 1 species